UAUCUCUGUAGAGUCUGCAUAUCAAUAAGCGGAGGAAAAGAAACUAACUAAGGAUUCCCUCAGUAACGGCGAGUGAAGCGGGAAGAGCUCAAAUUUGAAAUCUUCAAGGGUUCUACCUCUACGAAUUGUAGUUUAAAGAAGUGUUUUCUGUUGAGGUUUCGGUAAAAGUUCUUUGGAAUAGGACAUCAUAGAGGGUGAGAAUCCCGUAUUUGACCAUUACUUUCCAACUUUGUGAUACACUUUCAAAGAGUCGGAUUGUUUGGGAAUGCAGUCCAAAAUGGGUGGUAAAUUUCAUCUAAAGCUAAAUACUGGCGAGAGACCGAUAGCGAACAAGUACCGUGAGGGAAAGAUGAAAAGAACUUUGAAAAGAGAGUUAAACAGUACGUGAAAUUGUCAAAAGGGAAGCGUUUGACACCAGUGUUGGUUUUCUCGAAAAUCAAUUAAAGAAGCAGGAUUCUGUAAGUUGUAUUAGACUUUAUCAGCUUAACUGCCUCGUUUCUUGUCUUUUUUAAUGCACUUUUCAGUUUAACAAGUCAACAUCAAUUUCUUUUGUUGUAAAAAGGUCAUUGAGGAAGGUGGCUUGCGAUUUCGUAUAAGUGUUUAUAGCCUCUUGCCUCUGCAGUCGGAGAGAUUGAGGAUCUGCAGCGUAGAUCCUUCGGGGUUAAUAGCACUUGUGCUAAGUUGUAGCUCUUCAUAGACAACAUGUUGACUAUGUUUAGUCAUGCGGCUUACUCGCUUAUGCUAUUUUACCUACGCUUAGGAUGUUGAAGAUGUAGCACAUCAU
rnacentral:rRNA from 1 species